GCAUGUCGAACGAAGCACUUGUGCUUAGUGGCGAAUGGGUGAGUAACACGUAAUUAAUCUGCCCUCAAGUCUGGGACAACAGUUGGAAAAGACUGCUAAUACCGAUACGUAAUAACCUCGCAUGGGGAUAUUAUAAAAGGAGCGUUUGCUUCGCUAGAGGAUGAGCGUGCGUCGCAUUAGUUAGUUGGUAGGGUAAAGGCCUACCAAGACGAUGAUGCGUAGCGGAGUCGAGAGGCUGAAC
rnacentral:rRNA from 1 species